CCUAAAAUAUCUAAACUAUCUUCUAAUCCCUAAACCACACCUUAAUUAACUAUAUCCUAAUUAACUAGACCACACCUAUCAACUACACUGUAAUCUAAUUGAUAUCACUUAUACACUACCGCACAAAUCCAGCAACAGGCUGAAGGAAACAAAAAACCGAAACAAAAAAAGAGAAAAGUGCUUAAUGGAUAAGUAGCAACACGUUUUCAACCACCACGACUCCGUUUCACCACGAACCUAGGUUCCAUCCCCGUUCUGCCGCGCCGGAGUUCUUUACCGACGGCAGCGGAACUCCUACAAACACGACCUCCACACGGCCAAACUCACUGCGAUUCCCUUAAUCCAAAUCCCCUGUUGAUCCAACCUAAUCUCUAUUCGAAAAUGCAAACCGAAGCAAAAGUUCUCACGAACCCUAGAUUGAAUAUUCCCAAAUCCGGUCCUCAUACGGAGGUAAUCGAGCUUGCAAGUUUGGGAGAAUCAUUCACUGGAUCCAUAUUUGCACAAUGAUAAUCAACGCGAGUAAAAUCGGUGGAGUUUCACAUACCUUCGUCGUUGACGGUGACGCACGCGGCGGACGGCGUUUGGAUACUGAUGCGGUACAAAACAAUCGCUUGUCUACUCUCCUAUUCUUCGUCUACUCCAAUCUUCCUCGCCGUUCCCUGGUACUUUGAAUCGUGGCGCUUACGUAUCUUGACUUGUAAUCGUGGAAGGCGCGGUUCGAUUGUUGGAUUCGAGAAGAUUCACUGAAGCAAGGGACACCAUGGAUUGAGGACGGAAUCAAGGUCCAGCAAGAACAGCCGAUGAAUUCGCCGGCAAAGAUGACCGAUGCAACGGCGAGGUUAGCGGAAGCUCGUCUCAGGGACUGAGGCGGAGUGGAUUCUAGCUCAACCGAUCAAAGCUUCAACGUGGAGCUUUGAUGGCUUUGUCUCAGAGCUUUGGUAAGGGUGGAAUGGUGGUGAAGAUGCGGAAUAGAAGAUGGAAACUGGAAGAAGCAGGUUGAGAGUGAUGAUUGAAGAGGAGUUCUUGGAGGGAUUCACGGUGGUUGAAGGUUUGUUACAGGUGGAAGAAGAAGCUGGAAAAGUUUGUUAGAGGUUGAAGGAUUGAGGGCAAACGAUUUUGGAAUGAGAGGGAAAAUUUUCUGAAAACCAAUGAUUGGCAAUGAUUGCAGCUUAUAUAGCAGGAUCUAAGGGGCAAAUUGGAGAAUAAAAUCUGAAAAUGGUUCAAUCUGCACCAUCCAGCUGGCACUUAAAUGAAGGACAUGAUCAUUGUCUCAGGGUCUGCACUGUAGUUCACCCUUGAAGCAUGACAUUUUUGAAUGCACUAGCUUCUGGUAUGUAUACAUUGGACCUGUUAUUUUGCUCUCAAGACUGAUCCAUUAGGCAGUACUAGUUUCUUCAGGAUUUUAAAAUCAUGAUUUCCUGGCUUAUCACUAACAUAUACUGCACAACCACCUAUUGCUCUUGCCGCAGCAUGAAACUCAGCUGUCACGUGCUUGCUAACCUUGACAUGAAGGUAUAAAUGUUGCUGUUAGGUGUUGGUGCUGUUGUAAACGCAGGUUGUUCAUGAUGCAUGUCCAUUCAAGGUUUAAUUCGUAGAAUAAAUUGCAACAAAGUGUUGCAAAAUUCUGCAAUACUUCAUGACAGGUUGGACAUGGUAAAUGAGAUACCCCCGCUGUUCGGUUCCAAGUCUACUCGUGGAACACUCCAUGAAUGAGCUCAACAUCAGGCCAUGUCGGUUUCUUGUAUCAUGGCCAUGGUCCAAUUCUAAUUCUUCCUUGUGAUUGAAUCGUGGUUCACUGUUUUGCUAGGUAUGAUGAUAGCUCGUUCAACAAGGUGACAACUGUUGGAUUCACCUGAUUCUGCAUACAGGAAACUUUGUCCAUUGAAGCACAUGGCUUGGUUCAUGAUCAGCAACAGGUGUAGGUGCGGUCAUGGGAAUCAUUUGUUCCUGACUUGGCCAAUGCUUCUUUUAUAGCAUAUGGUCAUGAGCUCUGCAGCACGUGUGGGCAUACUAACCUUGCUUGGUUAGUUUCAAGAGCAUGCCUCAUUUGGCUAGAGCAUCCACGUGAGGGAGUAUGGGUAAGGCAUGCAACACGGAUGACACCAAGUUUGGCCUUUUGGAGCAUUAAUGGCACAUGUCAACGACCAAGUAGGAAUUUUUAGAGCUUAGGAAUAGGAUUCAUGGGUAUUUAGGAUUUUAGGAGUUUAGGGAUUGGGUUGACUUUGGUCAGAGUUGACCAAAGUCAACAGUUGGUCAACACACUCAUUCUUUGUAUUUUUCCUGUAAUGAUCAUGUAAUGAAUGAAAUUUCUUCACUUGAAUGAAAUUGGAUUGGUAUUUGAACUGAA